GUAAAGGGAAAAUUGUUUUUUCCUCCCCUACACAGCUUUUUUGACAAAUAGAAGUUUCAAAUUAAGGGAAAAAGCAGCAUGAAACUAUGCAGCCAUUCUCCCUGUGGACGAUAAAACAUGAGUUGAAGAAGUCACGGGCACACACAGACAGCACUUCCACCUCCUGGCCCCACUGCCCCAUGCAGUUGGGCAGAGCCUCAUGACUAGGCCUGAGCAAUGACAUUACAAGCAAAUGAAGCAUGAUGGGAAAUGAUAAAACAAUGAUCUCAUCUCUUCUCCUGCUACAUCUUAUGGAAGAGACCUCCUGUCACCUAGGGACAUUGGGUGAUGGUCAUUAAUGAAGCUAAAAAGUCAAUGAAUGCUGGUAAGUGAGAUAGUACAGUGUCCUGGGCUUCAAGCUGGGGUCAUUCAAUUUCCA
rnacentral:lncRNA from 1 species